AUCACCUGAGGUCGGGAGUUCGAGACCAGCCUGACCAACGUGGAGAAGCCCCUUCUCUACUAAAAAUACAAAAUUAGCCCGGUAUAGUGGUGCAUUCCUGUAAUCCCAGCUACUCCGGAGGUUGAGGCAGGAGAAUCGCUUGAACCCGGGAGGCAGAGGUUGUGGUGAGCCAAGAUCGCAUCAUUGCACUCCUACAGCAAAACUCCGUCUCAAAAAAAAAAAAAAAUCAAAAUGUAGAGCUGUAAAUCUUAGGCCAUCACCUCCUGAUUCUAGGGCUAUAAACCUGUUGUUUUCAAAGGCCCUGCUCACACAGGAAUUCAUGGCAGAAUGGAGCUGGGAGGCAGAUGGAGCGAUGGAGAUCAUAUGCUCAGGAUCCCUCUCCCCCUCUCAUGACAAAGGCUUUGCCCCUGCUUCUGGCUGGAGGGACCUGCCCUCUCCUUGCUUGGGACAGUUGUUAACCAACACAUCUUAAUGACAGAGGAGAGAAGAAUCAAGACCUGGGGAUGGAGCUGGGAGAGGCCAGCCUCGAACAAAGAAUAUCUUGAAAGCCUCUUUUUAUCAUUAAAGUGUGUAUGAAUGUUACCUUUUACC
rnacentral:lncRNA from 1 species